UGGGAAAUGUGGCGUGUGGGAKUGAGCGUGCCGGGUGCGCCCACGGACGGCAAGUCCCCCUGACCGGGGCCUAUCCGAAGCGGGUGCGAGGCCCAUAGCCGUCCGGAGCGUCUCGGAAUGCGAUCUCCUUGGAGUCGGGUUGCUUGGGAGUGCAGCCCUAAGCGGGUGGUAAACUCCACCUAAGGCUAAAUACCGCCGUGAGACCGAUAGCAAACAAGUACCGUGAGGGAAAGUUGCAAAGAACUUUGAAGAGAGAGUUCAAGAGUACGUGAAACUGCUCAGAGGUAAACGGGUGGGCCCUCGAAAUCCUGUGGGGAGAGGAUUCAGUCUGGUGCCCCGGAGGCGCGUGGUCGGAAAUCAGGUAGGGCAUCCCGAGCAUCGGGGCCGUCUGACCGCGCCGUUUCGGGUGCAUCCGACGCAUUUGACUCUCCCCCGAAGGACGCAGCAACCGGUCGGGCAAUGCAAGCACGACGGCCUGAAGGUCGGGGAAUGGCAGGUGGCCGGUGGAACGCCUCACGGCGCGUCGCCGGUUGUUAGCCGCCCCGUCAGUGGCCCGUCGCCCGACCGAGGUYAAAAAAGGUUCCCUCGGGGACCUCUCUCCGCCUCCUCCCACAUGC
rnacentral:rRNA from 1 species